GCAGGAAUUGGGGGUGAUCUGAGGUGUGAAGGUGCAGGAAUUAGGGUGAUCUGAUGUGCAAAGGUGCAGGAAUUGGGGAUGAUAUGAGGUGUGAAGGUGCAGGAAUUGGGGUGAUCUGAGGGGUGCAGGUGCAGGAAUUGUGGUGAUCUGAGGGGUGCAGGAAUUGGGAUGAUCUGAGGUGUGAAUGUGCAGGAAUUGGGGCUGGUCUGAGGUGUGAAGGUGCAGGA